GCCGCGAUGGUGGAAUUGGCAGACACGCAAGAUUCAGGAUCUUGUGGGCAUUACGCCUGUGAGGGUUCAAAUCCCUCUCGCGGCA
rnacentral:tRNA from 1 species